AUACUAACCUGGCGCCGUGGUUCAGGACGAUCUUUCAGGUCCUGCCACCGGGUGGAGUCUUUCCAUUGCACACCGGACAGAUGAUACUCGCUGCAAGUGCAAAUAGCGCUUUGCUGGACGUGUAAUUUGUGUUAGCGGGUGCUGUGUGAAAACACGGUACCUC